rnacentral:rRNA from 1 species
UACGUAGGUGGCAAGCGUUGUCCGGAUUUAUUGGGCGUAAAGCGCGCGCAGGUGGUUCGUUGCGUCCGAGGUGAAAUCUCCCGGCUCAACUGGGAGGGGUCUUCGGAUACGGGCGGACUUGAGGAGAGCAGAGGUAGGCGGAAUGCUGGGUGUAGUGGUGAAAUGCGUAGAUAUCCAGCAGAACACCAGUGGCGAAGGCGGCCUACUGGGCUCCACCUGACACUGAGGCGCGAAAGCGUGGGGAGCGAACCGG